rnacentral:rRNA from 1 species
AGAUGGGCAUGCGCGACAUUAGCUAGUUGGUGAGGUAACGGCUCACCAAGGCUACGAUGUCUAGGGGUUCUGAGAGGAUUCACCCCCACACUGGUACUGAGACACGGACCAGACUCCUACGGGAGGCAGCAGUAAGGAAUAUUGGUCAAUGGACGCAAGUCUGAACCAGCCAUGCCGCGUGCAGGAUGACAGCCCUACGGGUUGUAAACUGCUUUGUACGGGAAAAAACCUCCGGUCGGAAUCGGAGCUGAUGGUACCGUAAGAAUAAGCAUCGGCUAACUCCGUGCCAGCAGCCGCGGUAAUACGGAGGAGCAAGCGUUAUCCGGAUUCAUUGGGUUAAAGGGUGCGCAGGCGGAAUGAUAAGUCAGCGGUGAAAUCCUACGGCUCAACUGUAGAACUGCCGUUGAUACUGUUGUUCUUGAGUACACUUGAAGUGGGCGGAAUGUGUCAUGUAG